UACGUAGGGUGCGAGCGUUUGUCCGGGAAUUAUUGGGCGUAAAGAGCUCGUAGGCGGUGUGUCGCGUCGGCCGUGAAAACCUGGGGCUCAACUCUGGGCGUGCGGUCGAUACGGGCAUCACUUGAGUUCGGGCAGGGAGACUGGAAUUCCUGGGUGAUGAGCGGUGAAAUGCGCAGAUAUCAGGAGGAACACCAAUGGGCGAAGGCAGAUCUCUGGGCCGUAACUGACGCUGGAGGAG
rnacentral:rRNA from 1 species